GUUAGUAUUAAAGGUGGACAUACUUGUAUUUUGAAAAUCGCUCCAAUGGCAGAUGACGAAGAAGAAGAAGUGGUUGUUGCGCCCAAAAUCGAACGCAAACGUGACAAGGAGAGCACAAUGGCGACUAGACUUGGGAGGCCAAUUAAGAUAAAUCCAAAGUAUGGUGCAGCUACAGAUGUCCCUGUGUCUGCUGUUCAGGAAAAUGCAGGAUCCAGUAUGCAGACUGCACAGCAAGUGUGCAGACAAAUCCCUGUGUCUGCUGUUCAGGAAAAUGCAAGAACAGAAGUUGCACCCACCAUACAAAUACAAUUCCAAAAUGCAAAGCAAACAAUAGAAGUUCAAAAACAGAAAAUCCUUCACCUGGAGGAUAAGGUUAAC
rnacentral:lncRNA from 1 species